rnacentral:rRNA from 1 species
AUGCCGAUGGACACCCCGCCGCCGCGCGGGGCGGCGCUGUCCGACGACGACCGCCUCCUCGUCGCCCACUGCGCCGCGCUCUCCUUCCCCUCCGCCUCCCGCUCCCCGCCCUCCGCCGCCGCCGCGUCCUCCGCCUCCUUCCAGGCGCACCACGCGUCCCACCCCUACCCCUGCGCCGCCUUCGUCUUCCCGCCCACCUGGUCCGCCGCCGCCUGGAUGCCUUCCUCCCCCGACGCCGGCGGUCGCGCGCCGUUCGGGGACGCGGAGGUCGACCCCGCGCUCUUCCCGUCGCUGCGCAGCGUCGGGAGCGGCGUCCCCGCGCGCGCCAGCGCCGCCUUCGUCGCCGCCUUCAGUGGCCUGCUCGACGGCUCGCCGCUCCAGACCGAGGUAUCUAAAGCGGUGGCAGAGGAGAAACGUGUCGUUUUCACAGGCCAUUCGUCUGGGGGUUCAAUAGCCACCCUUGCUGCCAUAUGGUUUCUUGAGAACUGCACAAGACGGGGAAGUGUCAAUCAAGCACAGCCAUUUUGCGUGACCUUUGGGGCACCUCUUGUUGGCGAUAAUGUUUUCAACCAUGCUGUUAGAAGGGAGGGCUGGUCACAGUGUAUUUUGCAUUUCAUCAUGCCACUGGACAUCAUCCCACGAAUACCGCUGGCCCCCCUUUCAUCCUCUAGAGAACAAAUUCAGUCUGUUCUGGAUUGGUUAUCUCCUCACAGUCCAAACUUCUCACCUGUUGGGAAUUCGCUUGUUAUUCCAGAGUUUUAUGAAACUUUGUUGAGAAGCACCCUAUCUAUUGCCAGCUACGAGGCCUGUUCUUUCAUGGGAUGCACUAGCUCAAUCCUAGGAACGCUGACUUCCUUUAUUGAGCUAUCCCCGUACAGACCCUGCGGGACUUACCUUUUCUUGACAAGUACCGAUCAACUGAUUAUUCUCACAAACUCAGAUGCUGUAUUACAGUUGCUAUUUUACUGCCUUCAAUUGGAUCCCCAACAACAAUUGCUUGAUGCCGCCGCCAGAAGUUUAAGUGCUCACUGGGAAUAUGAAUCGAUUAAGCAAAGUGUGAUGCAAGAGAUAGGUUGUGUGGAUUACCUAAGAGCAAUUUCAUCAUCCCUUCCUGGUAGACAGAUGAAUGGGACAGCAAUUGGUGGCCUUGAACUGAGUAAGGAAGCUAUGCUGAGCCUUGCUGCUGCUGCACAAUGGGAGAAGCAAAGAGAGAUAAACCAAGCAAAGAUAGACGCAAACUGCAGUAAAAUUCAGGAAGCCCUCAAGUCCCUGAACGAGUACAAAAGAACAUGCGAGCUGCAUGAAGUGAGCUACUAUGAUUCCUUCAAGCUUCAGCGGGAAGUGCAUGACUUCAAUUCAAAUGUACGGAGGCUGGAACUAGCCGGCUUUUGGGACGAGAUAAUUGAGAUGUUGCGAAGGCGUGAGCUUCCAGACGCGUUCGAAGGGCGAGAAGAGUGGGUGAACCUGGGGACCUCGUACCGCCGGCUGGUUGAGCCCCUGGACAUUGCAAACUACUACAGGCAUUCCAAGAAUGAGGACACCGGCUCCUACCUCUCCAAGGGCAGGCCGAGACGUUACAAGUACACCCAGAAAUGGCGCGAGCAGUCGCACCGCAUCCCCUUGGGUUCCAGCCUCGAGUCGUGCUUCUGGGCAAUGUCGGAGGAGCUGCAGGCUGAGAUGAUCAACGGCAAAUCAUUCGAGGAUCUGAAAGACAGGGUGGGUAAACUCGAGAGCGAUGCACUUGGAUGGUUCACCUCGGGAAAUCUUGGCAGGGAUGUGUUUCUGAGCAGCUCAUCCUUUGUGAUAUGGUGGAAGACACUCCCGGAGCAGCACAGGUCCGCGUCAUGCAUCGCGAGACUUGUGCCUUCAUAA